GACGAACGCUGGCGGCGUGCUUAACACAUGCAAGUCGAACGGAAAGGCCCUGCUUUUGUGGGGUGCUCGAGUGGCGAACGGGUGAGUAACACGUGAGUAACCUGCCCUUGACUUUGGGAUAACUUCAGGAGACUGGGGCUAAUACCGGUUAGGAGCUCCUGCUGCAUGGUGGGGGUUGGAAAGUUUCGGCGGUUGGGGAUGGACUCGCGGCUUAUCAGCUUGUUGGUGGGGUAGUGGCUUACCAAGGCUUUGACGGGUAGCCGGCCUGAGAGGGUGACCGGCCACAUUGGGACUGAGAUACGGCCCAGACUCCUACGGGAGGCAGCAGUGGGGAAUAUUGCACAAUGGGCGGAAGCCUGAUGCAGCAACGCCGCGUGCGGGAUGACGGCCUUCGGGUUGUAAACCGCUUUCGCCUGUGACGAAGCGUGAGUGACGGUAAUGGGUAAAGAAGCACCGGCUAACUACGUG
rnacentral:rRNA from 1 species